GACGAACGCUGGCGGCGUGCUUAACACAUGCAAGUCGAACGGAAAGGCCCUGCUUUUGUGGGGUGCUCGAGUGGCGAACGGGUGAGUAACACGUGAGUAACCUGCCCUUGACUUUGGGAUAACUUCAGGAAACUGGGGCUAAUACCGGAUAGGAGCUCCUGCUGCAUGGUGGGGGUUGGAAAGUUUCGGCGGUUGGGGAUGGACUCGCGGCUUAUCAGCUUGUUGGUGGGGUAGUGGCUUACCAAGGCUUUGACGGGUAGCCGGCCGGGGAGGGUGACCGGCCACAUUAGGACUGCGAGACGGACCAGACUCCUACGGGAGGCAACAGGGGGGAAUAUUGCACAAUGGGCGGAAGCCUGAUGCAGCAACGCCGCGUGCGGGAUGACGGCCUUCGGGUUGUAAACCGCUUUCGCCUGUGACGAAGCGUGAGUGACGGUAAUGGGUAAAGAAGCACCGGCUAACUACGUG
rnacentral:rRNA from 1 species